rnacentral:rRNA from 1 species
UUUAUGGAGAGUUUGAUCCUGGCUCAGGAUGAACGCUGGCGGCGUGCCUAAUACAUGCAAGUCGAGCGAACAGACGAGGAGCUUGCUCCUCUGACGUUAGCGGCGGACGGGUGAG